CCUAAGCACGUGCCCUCCUCCCUUUUUUUUCCCAAUUCCAAAAUCAACCUUCAUCUCCACCAAUCCACCUCCACCGAUCCACCUCCGGUCCUCCACCCAAUUCCAAAAUCAAGCAUCAAACAACAGUGUUAGAAUUAGAGGUUAGAGGCUGUCAAUACAUUGUAAAUUCAUAUUCUGUUAAACAGGUUAGUUCUCGAAUUAUUUCCCCUAUGUAUUUGUAAAUCCUCACCUUUUCCGCAUGUUAAUUUGUUAAAUUAUUUUUCAUGUUGUUUUGCUUUUUUAUGUUUGGAUUGAUGAACUAAUUGAUCUCUGUUAUAUGACCAAUAGGGUGCUUUAAUUUUCUGCCUGUAAUUCAUAAACUGAUGUUGUUUGGAUCGUUUAUCCUGAUAAAGGAGGAACCUUUUUGGGUGGUUAGGGUUAGGGUUUGGGAUGUUUUGGUAAUUGCUGGGGAAGGAUUGGUAUUUUGAUAAGAUGAUAUAUGGUGGUUUUCUGAUUUUGAUUUUAAGACAUUGAAUCUUUAGGGGGAAUUAAAUCUGGAACAUACAAGUUAGAGCCAAAUGGGGUAAUCAAAUAUACUAUAACAUGAGCUAAAUUAUAUCAAUAUAUAGUAAACCAUAUUGUUAUACAUGAAAAUAUAUAGUAGAUAUUCGAAUAUUUGAUUUCAUCGAUUGUAACAUAAGGAACCAGAAAAUGUUUGAUCACCGGACCCAUAUGUGAAGUUGAACGGCUCUCUCUGGGUUUCAACUAAAAAGCCCCAUAGCUUUAUUCUUUCACUUAAAAAAGUAAAUUAAAAAUACUUUUUUAUUUUAUUUUGAAGGUGGUUGAUUAUUAGGCAAACAACCAUGCAAAGAAUAAGAACAUAAGUAAACAUGAAAGACAGAACAGGGAGAAUAAUAUUAAAAAUUAUUCCAUUUGAAAUGUUCAUCUUAAAAUGAUUUUUUUUCUUAAUUAUGUUUACAUUCUGAUGUAAAAAAACAUGAUAGACAAAUAAAUAAUUUAUAUGUAUGAUGAAAUUAUGCUUAAAGGUUUUACUAUUAAGGGAUUCCAUUAGUUUCCAAACAACAGUAUUAAAUUCUCAAUAUUAUAGCUAAAGAACAUGUCAGGCCAGCUCAAAGUCCUAAUCAAACAGUUCCAUUACAUAAUACUUGAGGUUAGGCAGAAAUAAAUAAAUAAACCAUAGGCUUAACCUUUUUUUUAUUCCUUAAAUAAUUAUUAUUCCUUUUCUCUUUGAUCCUUUGCAGAAGUAUCUAUUCUAUUUUUGGAAUCUGGAAACACCUAUUAAGACUCAUUACGUUCCGGCCUUCCGGGGAAACUUGUUUUUACAUUUUCCGAAAGCAACUUAUAUAUAUAUAUAUAUGUAUGUAUGUAUAUCUUUACCGUAAAAUUAUCUUGAGGUGAGUUUUGUAUUUCAAUACGAGGCUAUAGGAUUAAGGGUAGCUGAGCACAAUUAAAAGCAAAAUUGUGCUAUUCAAUUAUUAUUGGAUGAGAAUUGAUUUAUGUUUUAUAGAGCAUGAAAUUUACCGGGCUGAGAUCACAAGCUUAGUUUCUUCAUUUAAUAUCUUUUUUGUUUUUGCUUUGUUUUAUUGUAGAAACAAGCUAUUUAGCGAGACAGAAAAAAAGCAGACACAAAUGACGCAGAAAAAAACGGGCCGGGC
rnacentral:lncRNA from 1 species